GGGACGUUAGCUCAGUGGAUAGAACGACAGCCUCCUAAGCUGUAGGUCGCAGGUUCAACUCCUGCACGUAUCACCA
rnacentral:tRNA from 1 species